GAAUCAGACAACCCAGUUCUCAUUCCACUUGGCCGCGUGUGAGCAAAGAAUUUCAAUUCAGUGUCCUUAUCUGGAUGGCAGGGCUGGUAACUUGUAUCCUGGGAGGCUUCUGGGAUAAAGCUUUAUGAUGCCCAAGUGUUGAAGCUCCUGCUGGCACACCUAGGCUCUGCCUCCAGGCCUCCCUGUUUUAUGAUCAGUCCCCAUUCAGACACCAGCUGGAUGUAGGAACUCGGGGCUUUUAUGAAGAGAUGUUAACGAGAAGCAUCUCUGCCUGGUCUCUUUCAGCAUCCCCUCCUGGCCUUAUUCACAACUCCUUCAGUCAAAGCCUGUGCCAGCCAGGCUCCUUCUCUGGGGCAGGUGCGAACUGCUUGGGCAUCCUUCCGGGAAGGGAGCUCCCAGCUCCUGGCAGGAGCGGCUUCGCAGUCACACCGCUGUUUGCAGACUCCCUGACAGACUCCUUGGCCAGCAAGUGAGGAGGAAUGCACGGAAGGCCCAGAGCCGCAGAGCUGAAAGUGAACACCUGUAUCUGGAUGCAGCUGCGUUCCUGCAUACCUCCGCUGUGGGCAGGAUGGUGGCCACGACAUGGUGGCCGCAGGGACUACUAACUGGUUACUCAUGUCAGCUCUUCUUCAGAGGAAGAUCAUGGGAAUCUACAGUCUGUCAUCUCAUUGCAGAGGUGGCAGAAACACAAGAUGACUAGCUGGACUAGCUAAAUUGGCAAAAUACCCUUCCUGCUCCAGAAAGUAGAGUGGACAGCAUUUGAGGAAGACACCUGCCACCAACCUCUGGCUUCUAUGUACACACUCCUAUACAUGUGAUAUGUGCUUGCAUACAUGUAAACAUGCAUACACAAACACAUACACACCAUAUAUGUACCCCCCCACAGGUGUAUGCAUGCAAAAAAAAAAUUACACACAUUUGGGAAAAGAGAUAAAAAUAUCAACAAGGUAAACUGGUAGGACUGUGCAUGGUUUUAAAAACUAUUUUAACAUUUUUGAUACUCUAUAGUUUUUAGUUUUUCUAGACAUAAUAAAGUUAGUAAAUUGUAGGCCAGACAAGACUACAUAGUUAGACCCCAGCCAGAGGUAUAUAGAAAAAAGAAAAAAAGAAAGGAAUUAAUACUGAGAACAAAGGAUGUUGUUGUAAGGUCUUUAACCUUCAGGAGGUGGAGCUUUGAUGAAGGAGGUGGAGCCUCGAUGGAGAUGGAGCCUCAGUGAGACAGGUGGAGCCUCAGUGAAGGUGGUGUAGCCUCAAUGAAGGAGGUGGAGCCUUGAUGAAGGCGGUGGAGACUCAGUAGAGGAGGUGGAGCUUCAAUGAAGGAGAUGGAGCCUCCAUGAUGGGCCUUGAGC
rnacentral:lncRNA from 1 species